rnacentral:rRNA from 1 species
GAUGAACGCUGGCGGCAUGCCUAAUACAUGCAAGUCGAGCGGAUGAAGGGGGGUUUCCCCUGGAUGCAGCGGCGGACGGGUGUGUAAUGCCCAGGAAUCUGCCUGGUAGUGGGGGGUGACGUCCGUUGACGGGCGCUAAUACCGCAGAAGGCCUGAGGUUGAAAGUGGGGGAUCUUCGGACAGCACCCUAUCAGAUGAUCCUAGGUGGGAUUACCUAGUUGGUGCGGUAAAGGCCUACCAAGGCGACGAACCGUAACUGGUCUGAGAGGAUGAUCGGUCACACUGGAAUUGAGAAACGGCCAAGCCUCCUACGGGAGGAGCAAGUGGGGAAUAUUGGCAAAUGGGGGAAAGCCUGACGGAGAAAUGCCGCGUGUGUGAGGAAGGUCUUCGGACUGUAAACCCUUUUGAGUUGGGAGGAAGAGCGGUAGAUUAAAACGUUCACGUUUUGACGUUACCUAAACAGAAAGCGACGGCUAACUACGUG